rnacentral:lncRNA from 1 species
AUCUUCUCCUCUCUACAAUAUUUUCUUUUCCGCUUCCACCCCAAUUUUUUUUUAUAACUUAUACCUCUUUAAUUAUAUAAAUUCUAUUCUUAAAUUAGUAUUAAUAAUAUUCAUAACUCUCAAACCUUUCAUAUUCAUAACCUCUUAAACCUUUUAUAUUCAUAACUUCUAAUUAUUUAAUGUGAAAGGUUAUAUUAACACUAUAAAAUCACACUAAAAUUGUAUUUGUAGUCAUCUCUGGUAGAGAAUUAGUGGAAGAAAUGUUGCAAUAGUUGUAAGCUUUGAGGUGCAUUAUUUUUUCAAAUAUUAUUUCAUAUAUUACUUUUAAUUAGCAAAUAAGACUAAUAUGUCAUCAUAUUUUUAUUUCUUCUAGAUAAAUUAUUUUGUUUUGUUAUCUUUGAGAUUUAUUUUAUGACUAAUAAUGUAUUUGUUUUGAUUUUUCUUGACUCUUGUAUAUAUGAUGAAAUGAUAACAUCAAGCGAUGAAAAUAAGUGGAUUUGAGUUAAAUAUAUUGAUUAUUUGUCCAAAAUGAUUAUGUAGGAGAAUUUAUGAUUAAAUGUAAUUUUUCCUUAUUCUUUAUGAGAUAUAAUAUGUUAUUUUGUUAACUUUGAGAUUCAUCUUAGGACUAAUAAUUUAUUUGCAAUUAUUUUUCUUGACUCUUGUAUAUAGGAUAAAAUGAUAAAAUUCAGAGAUGGAGAUUAAUGAUUUUUGAGCUAUAUAGUGUUUAUUCUUUAUUUUUUUAGGUCCUUAAGAAGUAAUGUUUCUAUUAUAUUAUUUCCUUUUGAAUUAUUUUUAUUUUGUCAAAAAUGAUUAUAUGUGUUUAAAUAUAAUGUUCUCCUUAUUCUUUAUCUUUUUCUUCUUUUGGUAGAUAAUUUUUUAACUUAUUUAAUCAGAUUUGCCGAUUAUAGAAGAUAUAUCUAUAGUGAAAUACAUUAAAUCUGAGCAACGUUUGAAAAGUGUUGCCUAAAAUAUUUUUGGGAACACUUUUUAAAUGUAGCCUAAUUUUUUAACUUUUCGCAACGAUAAUAUUGGCAACACUUAUAAAGUAUACCAUUUAAUGAUAUAGACUACACUUUAUAAGCGUUGUCAUAGUAUGAAAUAAAUGGCAACAAUUAUGUAUAUAUAUGGCCACACUUUUAAAGGGUCCUAUUUUUAUAAUUGUAAAACAACAUUAUAGAAGUGUUGCCUAUAGUUUCCCUCCAACAUUUUCAAAUAUUUCACUAAAAUAUUUGAUUCCCUCCAACAUUUUCAACUCCCCCUCCUAUUAUUUUUGGCCAAAGCUGAAGAGUAGCACACAAUUUUUCUUCUCCAAAACUUUAAAUCGAAGAGUAGAAGAUGGAGAUCGAAGAAAGGACGUUGAAAACUGAAGAGAAGAGCUGAAGAUUGAAGAACUGAAGCUUAAAACAAACUUCAUCAAGCGUAAGUACCAAUUUUAUACAGCUUAAAUUCCUUUUCACUCUCUUCUAAUCAUCUAGUACUAAAAAUAGUCAAUUAAUUGAAUUUUUGUUUUGUGUUUAGAAGUAAUUGAUUAGUUUGAGAUUGUUAUUGCUGAAGAAUCGAAGAGCACUGUGAUUUCUCUGAACAUGAACUGAAGAAGACGAUUUUCCUCUCAGCUUAGUUGUUCAAGAUUGGAGAGCUGAAGAAGACGAUUUUCUUCAAAGAUUUCUGGGUAAACUGCUAUUCCAUCAGAUUUCCUUUUGAAAAUUGAAAGAAAAUGCUUCAAAAAUUUGUUUAUAUGAAAUCUGUCAAAACGCGGCUGGGUCGACGGACCUCGCGACGGGACAUCGUGGUCACGACGAGACGUCGUGAACCUCGCGACGGGCCGCCGUGGACCUCGCGACGGACUGUCGUAGUCAUGAGAGGCCGUCGUGGUCAUGACGGGCCAUGGUAUUGACGUUGAGAAUAACCUUAUCUAUGAAAAUCUACUUAUAUUUGAACCAUUCUACAUAAAGUACCUUGUAAAGUUAGAACAUGUUCUACUUAUAUCACCUUCUCGGCAUUUAGUAUUGACUUGUUUCAUGCCACUUUGGAUAGAAGAUUACUUGGAUGUGGCUAUCAUGUUCCAGUAAGUGUUAUUACAUUUGUAUUUUAAUUAGAAUUACGCAGACUUGUACUACUUUGUGAUUCUUCUUACAUCUACAUAAUCUGUAUUUUUCUUGAUAAGUUGACCUAAUGUAUGUUUUUGCUGUGAAUCCGAUUUUCAUGUCUUGAGUUCUCUAUGACUAGAUCUUUUAUAUUGUGUUUGUAUGUGAUGGGAUUUAAUCGAAUUAUUAUCCAACUCCAUCAUUAUUAAUUGUAAACUCAUUUUUUUGAUACUUUGUGAUUUCCUUUAGUGAAUUCUAUGUCCCAAAAGUUUGUGGAACUGUGAUACUUGAUCUUUCCUUGAACAAUUAUCAUGUUAUUAUUUGUAAUACUCAUGAACUGUGAUACUUGCAAGUUUCUUCUGCUGCUUUUCUGAUCUUCAUGACGAACAUGCAGGACGGACCGUCAUAGCUACGCCAGUCCGUCACGCUUUCCGUUACAGCUGAACAAGUUUGUUCUGCUACUUAUCUGAUCUUUAUGACGAACAUGCAGGACGGACCGUCAUGGCUACGACGGUCCGUCACGAUUUCCGUUACAGCUGAAAUUUCAAAUUGAUUAAUUGUUAAAUUUCUUAAUUUUGUGUUCUUUCUUGAUGGAACAGAUUUGUUUACUAGAGGAAUUGAUAUUCAAGCAGUUAACGUUGUUUUGUUAGUUUGCGUGCAUCAUGGUUAUUGUAUAACACCAAAUAUUUUAUAUUGUUUCUUAUGAAGUUUGAACCCUAAUGCAAUAUCUUAUUUGUGUAGGGAAAUGGAGGUGAUCAAAUUUGAAGUGGAUGAUGAAGAGUUUUUGAACUAUUGUAAAAGUUUAAAUACAUAUUUGAUUUAUUGUGUACACAUUUAGAAUAUUGAUGUAUAAGUAUGGGUAUGUACACAAUACAUACUAUCUUUUGGUUGUACAUGAAAUAUUUCUCGAUGUUUAUUUGAAAUAUAUAGCUUCAAUUUGAUGAUUAAUUAGUUCAUUUUGUGUUUUAGGUCACUUGUAUGUAUGUAAAUAUAUUAUAUAUAUUUGUGCUACAUGUAGGCUUAUAAAUGUUGAAGUUACACUUUGUAAGUGUUGCUCUAGGUAGAUAAAAAGUUACACUUUGAAAGUGUUGCAAUAGAUGACCAAUAAAAGGCAACGCUUUUAAGUGUAGUCUAAAAAAAAUAGGUGUUGCUAAUGCACGUCUUCAAAGCGUGCCCUUAUACCUAUUUGGCUACGCUUUAUAAGUGUUGCCAAAGAUGGCAACAUUUAAAAAGUGUUGCCUAAUGUCAAAGGUU